CAUUUCACUGUAUCGAGUAACGUCAGUGGUCACAUCACCAUCGCAAGGUUUUCCGUUGUUUUUCCAGCAGCUUCCUAUGUCCAUCAGAUAAAAUUGGCUAUUUUUACCUCCUCCUUGCUUUACGUUUAACCUGAACACUACCUUGAAAUUGGGCGACUUGGGAACUGUUGUUAACAUCCCCCUUGUCGGAUAAUGGUACCCGCCGGAUAAUCCUUUGGUGGCAUCGG
rnacentral:misc_RNA from 1 species